GAUGAAGAACGUAGCGAAAUGCGAUAAGUAAUGUGAAUUGCAGAAUUCAGUGAAUCAUCGAAUCUUUGAACGCACAUUGCGCCCGCCAGUAUUCUGGCGGGCAUGCCUGUUCGAGCGUCAUUUCAACCAUCAAGUCCCCGGCUUGUGUUGGGGACCUGCGGCUGCCGCAGGCCCUGAAAUGCAGUGGCGGGCUCGCUGUCACUCCGAGCGUAGUAGUUACAUCUCGCUCUGGGCGUGCUGCGGGUUCCGGCCGUUAAAAGCCUUAUUUACCCAAGGUUGACCUCGGAUCAGGUAGGAAGACCCGCUGAACUUAAGCAUAUCAAUAAGCGGAGGA
rnacentral:misc_RNA from 1 species